AUUGAACGCUGGCGGCAUGCCUAACACAUGCAAGUCGAACGAGAGGCGGACGGGUGAGUAAUGUAUGGGGAUCUGCCUGAUCGAGGGGGAUAACGACUGGAAACGGUGGAUAAUACCGCAUACUAUAGGAUGAGCCCAUAUGGGAUUAGCUAGUGGGGGGGGUAAAGCCUCACCUAGGCGACGAGCCCUAGCUGGUCUGAGAGGAUGAAAAGCCACACUGGGACUGAGACACGGCCCAGACUCCUACGGGAGGCAGCAGUGGGGAAUAUUGCGCAAUGGGCGCAAGCCUGAUGCAGCCAUGCCGCGUGAAUGAAGAAGGCCUUCGGGUUGUAAAAUACUUUCGGCAGGGAGGCGUUACCUGAAGAAGAAGCACCGGCUAACUACGUGCCAGCAGCCGCGGUAAUAC
rnacentral:rRNA from 1 species